rnacentral:rRNA from 1 species
UGGGGAAUAUUGCACAAUGGAGGNAANUCUGAUGCAGCAAUGCCGCGUGAGUGAAGAAGGCCCUUGGGUUGUAAAGCUCUUUUAUGGGGGAAGAUGAUGACGGUACCCCANGAAUAAGCACCGGCUAAAUACGUGCCAGCAGCCGCGGUAAUACGUAGGGUGCGAGCGUUGUUCGGAAUUACUGGGCGUAAAGGGCGCGCAGGCGGAGNUGNAAGUCGGAGGUGAAAGCCCGGGGCUCAACCCCGGAGGGUCUUUCGAAACUGCNUCUCUAGAGAGGGUCAGGGGCCGGCAGAAUUCCUGGUGUAGAGGUGAAAUUCGUAGAUAUCAGGAGGAAUACCGGUGGCGAAAGCGGCCGGCUGGGGCCACUCUGACGCUGAGGCGCGAAAGCGUGGGGAGCAAACAGGAUUAGAUACCCUGGUAGUCCACGCCGUAAACGAUGAGCACUGGACGUUCGGAGGGUUCGACCCUUCUGGGUGUUUCAGCUAACGCAUUAAGUGCUCCGCCUG